rnacentral:tRNA from 1 species
GCGAGUGUGCUGGAAUAGUUACACAGGCUAGCUUGAGGUGCUAAUGUUGGACGUGUGGGUUCAAGUCCCGUCACUCGCACCA